rnacentral:rRNA from 1 species
UACAGAGGGUGCGAGCGUUGUUCGGAAUUAUUGGGCGUAAAGGGCACGCAGGCGGUGCGGCGCGUUUCGCGUGACAGCGGAGGGCUUAACCCUCCGAGGAUGCGAAAGACGGCGGCACUUGAGGGCCAGAGAGGGACACGGAAUUCCGGGUGGAGUGGUGAAAUGCGUAGAGAUCCGGAGGAACACCGAAGGCGAAGGCAGUGUCCUGGCUGGUGACUGACGCUGAGGUGCGAAAGCUAGGGGAGCGAACGGG